AUUUGCUUACUUGAUUUCACUGUGUGUGGCCCAUAUUUGAGGAAUUGGAAGUUGUACUCCCCCUUCCUGAGGUCAGACAGAGUACCUAUAUAAGCACAGAUUUGUCUCUUCUAUUUAUUAAUUUAUUUAAUCAUUUAUUUAUAUAAUAUGGACUCAUGGAUAUUUUAUCCUUUUGGUUAUAAGCCAGUACUGCUUAUUCAGGUUGCUCCAGGUUUGGCCACUAGGAGCAUUUUCAGUUGGCUCCAUUUUCCCAUUGACAUAGCUCUAUCACUGAAGGUAGGUAUUUAUCUGUUUUUAUAUUUCCUUAACUUUCUGGCAAUACAAGAUGCUCUGGGCUCAUUUCAUCUAUUUCCUGCCUGGUUCUAGAAUCAGCCAUUUCUCCAAGGAGCCCUCGCUUAUUUUAUUGACAGAACAAAGAAAUACAUGUAUGUAAACUAA